UACAUAGGGUGUAAGCGUUAAUCGGAAUUACUGGGCGUAAAGCGUGCGCAGGCGGUGAUGUAAGACAGAUGUGAAAUCCCCGGGCUCAACCUGGGAACUGCAUUUGUGGCUGCAUCGCUGGAGUACGGCAGAGGGGGAUGGAAUUCCGCGUGUAGCAGUGAAAUGCGUAGAUAUGCGGAGGAACACCGAUGGCGAAGGCAAUCCCCUGGGCCUGUACUGACGCUCAUGCACGAAAGCGUGGGGAGCAAACAGG
rnacentral:rRNA from 1 species